UGCACCUUGGUCUCCUUCUACUUCAUAGGAUGAGCGUUACAGAGCUAUUUGGCCAAAACUCUUUAUUUUGCCAUGGUUUACAUUCAGAACCUUCCACCAAUGUUUUGUCAAGGGUAAACUUGGAUCUAAAGGAAAACGAGCRCCUGCAGGGCCAAUGGGGCAAAGGGGUAUUCCAGGGCUUGGAGGAGAGAAGGGGACAUUUGGCCAGCAUGGCUCAAAGGGUCAGGCUGGGGGCAGAGGCCUACAGGGACAUAUUGGACCACGUGGAGUUAAAGUAUGCUGGAAUAAAGUUGGAAAUCAAUCAACAACACCUCACAAUUAGACAGCAGAUGACAUUGCUGUCUUUUAUUUAGGGGAAUGCAGGACUGCAAGGGAAUAAAGGGUGGCUAGAUCCAAAAGGCAUACAUGUUAUCUUGUGGAAUCUCUUUUCCAUAUGAGUUAAUGGAAUCAUAUCCUGAUACAUUUUGAUAACGGUAUCAGAACAAUAUUUCUUAUCAGUUUAUGUCAGUGCAUUGGUAGUUUAU